UCCGGUGACCGAGUCCACAGUUACCAUGUGUCUCAGGAACAGAGAGACCAAUCAAAACCACCUCCAGGUCAGUGGAUGGACCCUGCCUCAUCCUAAGCCAUAAGGUUGCCUUGUUAGGGUCACAGCUACAACUGGCUCAGAGAACCCUAUGGAAAAGGAGGUGAAAAGACUGUAAGAGCCAGUGAGGGUGGACGGCACCAAGGAAGCAAGACCUUCUAGACACAACAGGACUGAUGCACAGAUGAACUCACAGAGACUGUGGCAGCACGUACAGGACCUGCACAGGUCCAAGCCAGAUGGGGUCCCAGUGCUGAGAGGGGAAGUGGACACAACCCUAUAUUCAUAACCCAGCAGCUAUUUCCAACUGACAACCUCUCUCAAUGCAAAAACGAGUUUUCUCCAAUGGAGUCUCACUGGACAUAUAAGCCACCCUUAAGAGCAGGCUCCAUGGACCAGAUGACCAACGCAAUAUGAACUCAAUGGCACUUUUGGAGGGCUUUGCGACUCACAAUGCUUUGUCUGCAUAACUUUUUUACCCUGUAGAUAUUUUGCUUGUAUAUUAUGGCUUCUGAUGAAUUUUCUCUGGGAGUGAA